rnacentral:rRNA from 1 species
GACGAACGCUGGCGGCGUGCCUAAUACAUGCCAGUAGAACGCACAGUUUAUACCGUAGCUUGCUACACCAUAGACUGUGAGUUGCGAACGGGUGAGUAACGCGUAGGUAACCUGCCUGGUAGCGGGGGAUAACUAUUGGAAACGAUAGCUAAUACCGCAUAAUAUUGAUUAUUGCAUGAUAAUUGAUUGAAAGAUGCUAUUGCAUCACUACCAGAUGGACCUGCGUUGUAUUAGCUAGUAGGUGAGGUAACGGCUCACCUAGGCGAAGAUACAUAGCCGACCUGGGAGGGUGAUCGGCCACACUGGGACUGAGACACGGCCCAGACUCCUACGGGAGGCAGCAGUAGGGAAUCUUCGGCAAUGGACGAAAGUCUGACCGGGCAACGCCGCGUGAGUGAAGAAGGUUUUCGGAUCGUAAAGCUCUGUUGUAAGAGAAGAACGGGUGUGAGAGUGGAAAGUUCACACUGUGACGGUAUCUUACCAGAAAGGGACGGCUAACUACGUG